rnacentral:rRNA from 1 species
AGGACGAACGCUGGCGGUGCGCCUAACACAUGCAAGUCGAACGGUGAACCGGGCUUCGGCCCGGGGAUCAGUGGCGAACGGGUGCGUAACACGUGGGCAACCUGCCCCCGACCCUGGGAUAACCCCGGGAAACCGGAGCUAGUACCGGAUACUCUCCUCUGACCACCUGGUCGGAUGAGGAAAGGUCCGCCGGUCGGGGAUGGGCCCGCGGCCUAUCAGCUUGUUGGUGGGUAACGGCCUACCAAGGCAUCGACGGGUAGCUGGUCUGAGAGGACGACCAGCCACACUGGGACUGAGACACGGCCCAGACUCCUACGGGAGGCAGCAGUGGGGAAUCUUGCGCAAUGGGCGAAAGCCUGACGCAGCGACACCGCGUGGGGAUGAAGGCCUUUCAGGUCGUAAACCCUUCGGCAGGGACGAAGCGAUCUCGUGACGGUACCUGCAGAAGAAGCCUCGGCUAACUACGUCGCCAGCACGCCGC